rnacentral:lncRNA from 1 species
GGGUGUCGCAUGACAACACAGAACUACUUCCAAAUGUGCAGCCCCAUUCAAAUGAAAACCAUUUUGGAUCAACCGACAAGAAAUAGCCAGCCUACUCCAACUUGAUUGGGAGUUGGGACUACAAGGCUUUGUUGUUGUUGUUGAUCAACCUGCAAGAAGGUUCAGCAGACAAUUAAAAUUGCUGUGACAGUGGGUUAUUUUUCUUCCCAUUGUUCUAUCAUUACACAGAAGUGUGCCGAGCUUAUAGUUUCUUGAUGCAACUGUUGGAUAUGUAUUGUAGUGGUGCAAUGGCCAGGGAAUCUGAGAUAAGAUGUACAUUAGGCUUUAUUUCAUUUUGUUCUUCUUUGACUUGUGUAUUUGAGAUUGUUGUGUUAGCUUCAAUUUUUCAUCUUAUUCUUCUGUGCCACGCAUAUUAGUAAAUUCCUAAAUCCAUGACCACAAUAUGACAAGUAGCAGAACAGAGACAAGAAAAAGAAAAAAGGGAAACAGUUACUUGUUUAGGCUAUCUGCCCAAGUGUCAGCUUAUAGUUUCCAGGCGCACAUGUUAAUGCGCAACCAUCUAGGAUGGAGAAGGAUUUCCACCAAAUACAUGUCCAUGCCUGCAAUUUCUAAGCUCCACAACUGUAAGUGCUGCUUAGCUGAUGUAGCACUCUUGAAUUCCCAUCCACAACUCUGCUACGCCAUUACUUCAGUACAUAUUUGGACAGAUAUGAUCAAAUUUUGGAGGCAUGGACAACAAUAUUAUUGGCAACUACGAAUAUUCAUCAGCUAGCAUUUCAUAGCAGUCAGAACCCAAACCACGCGGCAAAAAAAUCGGUACAGCUAUUUCAGCAUCUAGAGGGCUGCUGAACAAUGAUAAUGCUUUGGAUUCACUCGUAUGGAGAAAAAAAACUAUAGCUAUGGUACAGCCAGAAUUUCAGCGUAGUGGAAAGUGGUGGUGGUACCAGUGUAUCACCUGGCCGUGGCCGAAGCGAGAGGAGCCCACCGGUGUCCUGCUGGCGCGGUGGCGCCGAUUGGGCCGUCGGGCGUGCGACGGCGGCUGUGGCUCGGCGCAAGCGUGUGGAGUGGAGAAGGAGAUAUUCAGAAUUGACCGCUAGCCUCGCGGCGAGGAGGUCUGCGGCGGCGGCGCAAUGGCGCAGCCAGCAGACGGCGAUAACGUUUUCCGCCUACGAGGAAGUAACCGUUACGCCUUUCCCCGUCGUUAACGAAUUCCACAGAAAAAUUCGUCGUCGUAGAGAGAGAGAGAGAGAGAGAAGAGAAAACUUUGCAAGUGGGCCCAAUUAUUUACCAUGCAACCUCUCGGCCCAAGUCUCAUGGGCCUGUCCUCUUAAAAGAAUCUCUCAUGGGCCUUUAAGGGACCAGCCUGUGGCCCUGAAUCGAAAUUAAGGCCUCACAGAAGCCGAAAAAGGUCCCCCUUUUUUUUUGCGAAUAGCCGAAAAACGUCCUCGCCCGCCGUGCCGUCAGCUUCUCUCCUCGUCGCCGCCGCGAACCGUCGUCGGGCCGUCGGGGAGCCAACCGCCAACCCACCUCGUCGCCGCGGCAUGCUGGCCCCGCCCGGCUCGCCGCCUCCAACCCAACUUCUUGCGCAGCAGCAGUCCCGUGAUAGAUUCGAUUCCUAACCUAUCUCAUCCCCUGUCCUCCACCUCACGACGGGCCGCUCCCCACCGGACUCGCCUGGCUGCUCGCCCCCGCCGGCCGCCGCGGUGCGCCCAAAGGCGACCCAUCCGGGCACUACCGGCAUGCCGGCUCCUCCCCCUCCAAUAGGGUGAUGAUAACAAGGUACGUCCACAGAAGCACUAGUACUACUGUACAUUGGGAUGACACGAGCAGAGAUUUUCUCCGCACGAGUAAAUUUGGAGCAGUAUCGCACUUCAGCGGCCCUCCAACAGGUGGAACUGCUGUAUCUAUCAAGUGUCCCGAUGGUUAGGAUUUCAGCUCUUAGAAUCGACACUGGACGCUAGGAUAUCUUCUCUGCUGCAAAUAUGCAAUUAUAAACUAUUGGUCCAACAUUGAAUCUACAAUUCUAUGCAGCAUAGUUCAGAUGUGCAUUUCUUGUGGAUAGUUUAUCAGUUACUAGAGUCAGUGUCGCUGGAAUUUUGGAGAGCUACAUGAGUUGUCUGCUCUGCAAUUACUUUCCUAAGAUUUCUGCAUUUAAAAAAAAACUGUUGAGCUUGCACAUUUGUAGUUACGAAAACAUACUUGAUGAAUUUCCUACUGAAAUACAGUUAAUCCUAAAUAUAUCGAUUGUUAGAUGUAAAGAUGCAUGCUUGUAGAAAUUCUGGUCGUCUCACCUUGUUUUGAUGUGUUUUGUCAUGUUAGUAUCCAUUCUGCUAACUCAGCUACUG